rnacentral:lncRNA from 1 species
CAGAUACAAAGGUUGGCUGUUCAAGAUAGACUUUACAGUCCAUGCAUCACUGAACCAUCUUUCUCUGAAAAGAAAAACAACAACAACAACAACAACAACAUCAACUGAAUGAUGAUACCCAUUGAUGUUAAAAUUCAAAUCAUAGCAUCUUUGCUGGGACGGGGACUUGCAGAAUUGAAGAGCACACCUGGGAAUGUGACAACAAGUUUUCCUCAUUAGGAACAAACAUGAAUGAGUCUUGACCAAGGCUUUUGGAUCCUAAUUUACACCAAUUACUGGUGAAAGUCAGAAAUGUCCACAAAAGCUUUAUGGAAGUAUAAAUUAAAGACAACAACAAAAGAACCAAAAGAAAAUAACAAAAGGAAACAAUGUAGAAAUCUACAUGACCUGAACCUAUUGUUAAGAAUUAAUUUGAUUUUGAACUUUCAAAAUAUGCUAAGACAUCAUUAAAGAAACUCUAAAGAUAGUAAGACAUUGAAUAUGCUUAAGUAAUUACUCAUUAGAACUUAACUCAUUUGAUUGGUAUAUAUAUCGUAUAUAUUGAGAAUUUUUAUAGGUAUUCAUUGAAUAUGGUUCUAAAUUGUCAUUCCUACGUUUUUUCUAUCAGCAAAUAAAUAAAUAUUUCUAAAAAUGGGGUACACGGGUACUCUAACUCAGGUACAAAAAAGUUUUGGAGUAAACCAACUGAAAUGGGCUCUAUGACAAAAACGUUUUCUCAUCCUACUUUAGUCCUCUAAUUUUUUUCUAUUUUUUCUUUUUUCUUUUUUAAUUUUUGUUCCAAUAUUUUUCUCAUUGACACUUCCAACUAAAUAGAGUUGUCCUACAUAACAUUCUUUUUCUAUUUUUCUUUUACCACACCCACUAAACAGACUUGUGUUUCAUUGAUAUAUUUACUGUAUAUUGAAAUUUAAUCAAUUAAAAAUAAAAAUAUAAGUUAUAAAAUUUUCAAAUUUUUAGUUUACUUAUUAUUAGUUUUUACAUUUUAUUGUUUAUUCUUGGUCCACAGGCUAGCCUAUAAAAUCGUGGACUAAAUAAGGCAGGUAGGCACAAAAGAAAAUGAAACCCAUUUAUGUCACAAACAAAGCUGGUCCAACUUAUUGAAAUUGAAAGCUAAAGAAGAUAGACCUUAAUAAUAAUGCCAUCAAAUAAUAGUCUAUUACCUAGGGAUCAAAGACCGUAGAAGCUUUUGAAAGUCUCAUACGUCCUUCUGUCCAAUAACAACCAAAUAAAAGAUGUAAAUCCAAAGAGCAAAAGCAACUUUUUACAACAAUAAUCUGAGUACCCUUUAGAUGGUACAAGUGGAAUCUUAGUACCCCAUUAAUCAGAAUCCUUCAUGUAUUAAGCUCAAGAGCUUGCUAUAAAAUAUUUUUAAAAAAAAAACUACCUGUAGACAAAGGUUAAAUGUGUCUGUAUGCCUUCAGAUUCCAGCUACCUUGCAGCCUCUAUUCCCU